UACGUAGGCAGCAAGCGUUGUUCGGAGUUACUGGGCGUAAAGGGUGUGUAGGCGGUUCUUUAAGUUUGGUGUGAAAUCUCCCGGCUCAACUGGGAGGGUGCGCCGAAUACUGAGAGGCUAGAGUGCGGGAGAGGAAAGUGGAAUUCCUGGUGUAGCGGUGAAAUGCGUAGAUAUCAGGAGGAACACCGGUGGUGUAAACGGCUUUCUGGACCGUAACUGACGCUGAUGCACGAAAGCGUGGGUAGCAAACAGG
rnacentral:rRNA from 1 species